ensembl:lncRNA
GUAAACUGUGGUUUCUCACUUUGUUUACAGAAUUUGAUUUGGCUUCUAAUAUUGUAUAUUUGGUGACUUAGUUUAAGAUCAAGUAUAGAAAUCCCCAGAUAGAUCAGCAUGUGCAAGUAGGCUCAAGGAGAGACCGAUGAUCAAUUUCUAGAAGUCCUGUGACAUUGAUUAAGUGUAAACUUCCCAGGAGAUAGCAAGAGAUAUCAAAAUGUGAAUUUAUUAAAUUAAGCUGAAAAACAAUUCUUACGAAAAGUAGAAGACCCACAGUCAGAAUGAACAGCUUUUCUCUCAUAAUUAAGGUCAUGUGAUUAAAGUUACCUGAACAUAAACAUUUUAACAAUAAGCAUUAGAGAAGUCAAAUAUUUCUUAUAUGAGGUGUGAUGUGUCCAAAUCUCCAUGGACAUAAUCUUUCUCUAGGCACCAGGGCAUUUAAAAUAUAAUGCCUAGGAGUUUCCUUGUAGCCAAAAAUAAAUAAUGAAAUAAACAAAACAAAACAUGAUGCCUAAAACUCCCUCUCACUAAGAACCAGUUGGAAUUGAUACUUCCAAUGUUAUCCUUGAUAACUCUCCUUUCUAUGUCCUGGGAAAGAUCCCAAACUAUGCUGCAUGACUCUUCUUUGCUGGGUUUCCUUGGCUAACGUGACAGGUAUGUAUAUAAACAUCAUCCAUAUUUUAAAGUUCUGAAGGCACAGAAAGUUAUAUCUUUUGCAGGAGAAUUUUCCCAUCAAAGAUAGGGUAGUUAUGCUCAGUUUACUGUUUGUCUCACAAGGCAUUCUAUUUCCUUUACUUCUAAGUACUUGAGGGCCACCUCUAUAUAUAGUUCUCAAUACACACCACAUCUAGCUUCCAACAAGCACAACACUUACAAUUUGUUGCUAUAUGGAGAACAACGUGUAAGAAACUAAAAGAUAAUAGCUAUGGAAAUUUAUACUAUGAAAUGCAAUAGACAGGUGCAAAAAUGUUAAGUUGCCAGGUUAAAUGAAUUACAAAAGAUAUAUCCAUAAAAUAAUCAAAGCAGAAAUUUUUUCUUUCUCUAGAUGGCAUGCAGUCUUUUCGGAUCAUUCAUUAUGUUUUCUGUAACUUAACUGAUUUUUAAUAUUUGAUGCACUUUUAGUUUAGUAACUGUAUAAUGGUGAUCAACACCAGAUAAGGAUACAUUUGUUUCUAGACUAAUUAAUAUCCUAAAGCCCUUUUGUGAAGAUCAGAGCACACGUGAGUGAAAGGUCCAAAUGUUAACAAUACCAAAGGAGGAGUUCCCAUUGUGGCACAGCAGAAAUGAAUUGGACUAGUGACCAUGACUUUGAGGUUCCAUCCCUGGCCUCGCUCAGUGGGUUGGGGUUCUGGUGUUGCUGUGGGCUGUGGUGUAGCUCACGGAUGCAGCUUGGAUCCUGUGUUGCUGUGGCUGUGGCGAAGGCUAGCAGCUGUGGCUUCAAUUCAACCCCUGGCCUGGUAACCUGCCUAUGCCAUGGGUGUGGCCAUAAAAAAUUAAAAUGCUUUUUUUUCUUAAACUUUUCAUGUAUGACGUAGUGAUAAAUCUCAAUUGUUUUUCAAUUAAGCGUAGUUUAAAAUUAUGAAAUGUCAUUAACUCAUUUGCAAUCUUAUGUUUUGACAGUUGGCCAAGUUCACUUCCUUUCUCACAUUGCCCUUAUUCUAGAGCCUUUUUUUAAAAAGUGCACAAUAACUUAGGUGUAUGCAAUAGCUGGUCUGCUGGAAGGAUUCUGGAAAGGAAUAUACCAUUCCAUCUUGGCUUCGGCUCAUAUAGUCUAAUAUCCUGACUUCAUUCCUAGGCAAAGUAUGGAUGAGCCUCACCACCUCUCUACUCCCAUCUACUAAAGUUUUUUGUGACUUUUUCCCCUUCAGUUUUACCCCUUAGGGCUUGUCUUGACCUGAUUUUAUUCUUAAGGUAUAAUAACAUUAGAAAUGCAAGAAGAAAUGGGAAGAAACACACUAAAAAGAGAAAAUUUUAAUAUACCUUUCUCAAUCCACGACAGAUAAAAUGGACAACAAAUAGUAAGAAUAUAGAAGACCUAAAAACAUAACCAAUAAGAGAGACCUUAUAGGUAUCUUAAAUUGUGUAUCCAAGCAGUAGAGACUCUAUCUAUAUUUGUAUACUCAAUGAACACUCAUAAAAAAAUUGACUGUAUUUUAGCACACAUACCUGUACAUCUCAAUAAAAUCCAAAGAAUAAAAAUAAUAAAAUAGCCCUUCCUAAAUGUAAGGCAAUCAAAUUGGAAAUUACUAACAAAGUUUUUAAAGACCUUUCAACAUGCAAAUUUUCAAUAAUUAUACCUUAUUAAACAACUCAAGUCAAAGGAAAAUAGACUAAGACUGCAGAUUUCUCUUACUCCACAAUAGUUAAAACAUGUAAGCACUUCUUGAAAUUAAAUAGGGAAAAACUUACUCCAACUUUAAAUUGUUGAUAUGUGCUAGAGAAGACCAGCUGUUUUUACUAAGUAAGCAAUGCUCAAUGUGUAUUUUCUUCCUCAUAUUUUUAGCUGGGUUGCUCCAUGUGUAAUUUUUUAAAUGUUUAUAAAAUAUGACAUUAACAAAAGUGGUUCAAUUAUUGUCUUACUUUACAUCUGAAUGCAAGAAAAAAUAAAAUCAAUCACCAACAAAUAUACAUAUGUGUAUGUAUAUAAAUAGAGAGAGAACACACACACACACACACGUAUAUAUGAGAGAUAGAGCAAGCAAGCAGCGGGAGGUGGUAUCAUGUCCUUAGAAAUAAGUACAGUCAUUGAAAUUCUAUAAUUCUGUUUUUUCACUUCUACCUGCUUUUGUCUCUUACUCUUUUCCUGAGAACCCAAAACAUGUGGGUAAAUCUAGAGUAGAACAAGAAGGCAAAUAGCAUAAACUUUUGCUGCUUGCAGAAGGAAGCAAAAGCUUCUCUGCCUUGAAGAAAUAAACUUCUAACUUUUAUUUUUCCUUCUCAUUUUGUCCCCAAAUAGUUCCUCAAAAAAGAAUUCUUUUCUCUUUUCCCCUCUGUAUUUUUGGUUCCUAAAACCAAGAUGGCAGAAUAGGCAUGAUUCUGUGUAAUGUUGCUGUUCCUGGCUUAGAAGCAGGAUUUGGGUACAGUAUGGCCAGGGAUUGGCUGCCUGAAUUAAUUAUGAUUUGUAGUUGGGUGAACAUGAGUUUGGUGAGAGAGGAGCACAUACUGAAAACUGGUUUAGGGCCUACAUGGUGCCCUAUGAAGACCAAGGUGGGGCUCAAGACAUUGGGUGGUUUUGCUGGUCAGUAACUGAUUUUUCCUUAUGAGCCCCAUUUUCAUUUCACAU